rnacentral:rRNA from 1 species
UACGGAGGGUGCGAGCGUUGUCCGGAAUCAUUGGGCGUAAAGGGCGCGUAGGCGGCCCGGUCAGUUCGUGGUGAAAGCGCGGGGCUCAACCCUGCGUCGGCCAUGAAUACUGCCGCGGCUGGAGCACUGUAGAGGCAGGCGGAAUUCCGGGUGUAGCGGUGGAAUGCGUAGAGAUCCGGAAGAACACCGGUGGCGAAGGCGGCCUGCUGGGCAGUUUUGCUGACACUGAGGCGCGACAGCGUGGGGAGCAAACAGG